rnacentral:rRNA from 1 species
GACGAACCGGACAAACGUUAUUCGGAAUUACUGGGCUUAAAGGGUUUGUAGGCGGCCUUGUAAGUCAGGUGUGAAAUCCCUCGGCUCAACCGAGGAAUAGCGCUUGAUACUGCAAGGCUUGAGGGAGACAGGGGUAAGCGGAACUGAUGGUGGAGCGGUGAAAUGCGUUGAUAUUGGAAAGAACACCGAUGGCGAAGGCACUUUACUGGGCUAUUACUAACACUCAGAGACGAAAGCUAGGGUAGCAAAUGGG